rnacentral:rRNA from 1 species
UACAGAGGUCUCGAGCGUUAUGCGGAAUCACUGGGCUUAAAGCGUGUGUAGGCGGAUCGUUAAGUGCCUUGUGAAAUCCCACGGCUCAACCGUGGAACUGCUUGGCAUACUGGCGGUCUUGAGCAACCUAGGGGCGAGCGGAACAAAUGGUGGAGCGGUGAAAUGCGUAGAUAUCAUUUGGAACGCCAAUGGUGAAAACAGCUCGCUGGGGGUUUGCUGACGCUGAGACACGAAAGCCAGGGGAGCAAACGGG